UGAAUUCUUCGGGGUCGGGUGUAAGUCCCAACCGGCGGUAUAGUCCGCGACCCGUUAUCAUAGUAUAACGGCUGAACUGGUGUAAUUCCGGUACCGACAGUAAAGUCUGGAUGAGAGAAGAAAUUG
rnacentral:ncRNA from 2 species